CCCCCCCCCCCCCCCCCCCCCCCCCCCCCCCCCCCCCCCCCCCCCCCCCCCCCCCCCCCCCCCCGCAGCCUGAGCCGCUCGGCGCUGCUGGCCGAGGUGGCCUCGGCCGAGAUGAGCCUUCACGCCAUCUACCUGCACCAGCUCCACCAGCAGCAGCAGCAGGGCCCCGGCCCCCAGCCCGCGGGGGCGCCCAGACACCCCUUCGUGACCACAGGCUCGGCUGCCCGCGCCUCGCAGCUGCGGGAGAUGCCGCUGGGCGGGUGGGCCGAGGAGGAAGAGGAGGAGGAAGAGGAGACGAUGACGUAGCCGGACCCGGCUCCGGUGGGUGGGGACACGGGGGAGCGAGGACCACCGGGAUUGGGACAGGUGACCCCAGGGCUGAGGGUACAGGGACCCCCGGCACAGGGACACGGACACGGCCGGGCUGGGCACAGAGACCCCCGGGGCUGGGGUCAGUGGGCUCUGGCUGCCCAGUGCCGGGGUGCCCAGUGCCGGGGUGCCCAGUUCUGGGGUCCCCACUCUGGGGUCUCCACUCCGGGGUCCCCGCUGACACCCCGUUCCCUCCGCAGGGUCCUGGUUGUGCCGAGACCCCCCGGAGGUGCCGGGGGAGCCGCCAGGGGCACAGUGGGGGGCUCGCCGUGCCCACUAUGCUGCCAGGGGGGCCCUGUCCGUGGGAGCCCCCUGCUCGGGGUGUCCCUGGUGCCCCCACUGCGGGGGUGCUGCCAGGGCCCCCCCCAGGUGCUGUUUUUGGGGGAGCACGGGGCUGGUGCCCCCCGUGGUGCCCCGAGCACCAGCUGAAAUAAAGGUUUACAGAGGGGCUGUGCCCACUGGCUGCGCCCGGGGUGAGCUGGCCCCCCCCCCC
rnacentral:lncRNA from 12 species